UCACAUUAGAUUUUUGGUACUAUAAAAGCUAUCUGUCAUUAUAUUAUCGGCCGGCAUCAAUUCCGAUAAAAAUUGACAUAAGUCAUCAUAACACCUUUCGAAAAAAUGAUGUUCUGCCUUUAGAUUCAACAAUCGAGCAACGACAGAUAAUUGUGAAUGCCCAUGAGGGUUUCCUUCCAAAUUUCUUGUUCUGAUGCUUUGAGCAUAUUAUAAAGACUUUUAGUUGUUGGAUUCGGGGUCCUCUUCCAAGUUUCAGUUAUAAGAUGGCCCGGCAAAAUCAAAAACCAUAGACUGAAAUGAAUUAUGAGAUUGAAGGUUCUCAGUUUCUUGUUGUAUAGUUUCACCAAAUAUUUCUUCUUCAUUAAUAUUAUGUACACUUGGAUAUGGACAAUAAUUUUUCCCGUGGUGAUACCAACGAUCAUAAUUUGGUACAAAACCGUAUUUCCCAAGAUGUACCAUAACUGUAAUCUCAUCUAAAAUAUUUCUAUUCCGACAUUUAUGAUGAUUACAAGAAUAUCUUAGCUUUUCACCAUCCAUGCAUUGUGGAUGACUUUUAGCAAAUGCAACAAACUCCUCAACCCCCGCAAUAAACUUACGAUUAAUGAAUCCAUUUUCCAAUCUAGCAUACAUCCACUCACGAUUGGAAUUCAUAUUGUACACUCUGACACAAUUAAUAAUAAAACAUAUGUCGUAGGUUACAUGAUAAUAAACAAGAAUAGCUUACAUAAAAACUGAAAACUUGAGCAGCAAACCACAUAUAUAAAUUUAUAUAAAACCUUUAUAUGAACAAUCAAAAAGAAUUAAGAUCGAUGUUGCAAGUUGGAGAUACCAGAUUCUACCAAAUUCAUAUGUAAAAAUCGUUAUACAAUGAUUCUCCAUCAAAAGUUAUUAUUAGUGCCAUGUAGUUUACAUUAUACAAUCAAAGAAUCAAAUAUGAAGCUGAACAUGCCAUAGUAUUAUCUCAAGAGCUAGGAAUCCCCCCUCUCCUUUUUUUAUAUUUGUAUUUUUCACAUUUUCUUACGCAUAGGCAAAAUAACAUACACGAGUCUGUUAAACCAUUAAUACAAACAUCAUUGUAUUCUUGAAGAGGAAGAGCAACACAAUAUCUCAUUUUAAGACUCAGAAAAAUUAAAUCGAUUACAUACAUCAGUGCUACAUGGUCAAUCCAAACCACUAAAGAGAACUUCUAAUAGAGUUCUUUAUUUGUAUAUAUACCAGAAAUUACAAAUUAAAAAACUUUCCAUAUCUCAAAACUCAAAUAUAAAAUGAAAUAAAAUAAACUAUCUUUAAAAGAUCACUUAUCAAUAAAAAUUUAAGUUUCUUUUUAUUUUACUAGAAGAGAAACUAACUCAUUUAGGUUUUUCACUUCACGAUUUCUCUAUUCUAGCAUGUUUGAUGAAGACCCACUAAGAUAUUUUCACAAAUUUGAAGUAUUCAGAGAUGUGGCAACGAUUAUAUUCACUUCAACAUACCCCUUUGUUCAAGCAAAAUCUAACUGAGAAUUGAGUAAACCAUGAAGUAGAAAAAGAACCAAAAAUCUGUCUAAAUGCUUCUAAAUUUAUGACCAAAUAUAUUUUCUUUUAAAUAGCAAAUCAGAGUAAAAGAGAUACCAACAACAAUAGUAUAUCGUUGAACAACUGGAAGUGCUCCCUCAAAAAAUGGUUCCUCACAACCUUGAAGUAAUCACUGUAACUGACCACAAAAUACAUAAUAUGAAAUUUAAUUUUACAACCAAAACAAAAAAAAAAAAAAAAAAAGACAAAAUGAGAGUGAAAGAGGAGAUACUAACAAGGGGAAAGCAGUCGACAGAGCACCAAAAUACAAAAAAAAUCGAAGCUUGUUGGUUAAAGAACGUUGGUUGAAUGUAGUCUACUAAUGGUGGUAUAGAAGGGAUUUGUGAAAGGAGGCUCUCUGUGGGGAUUUCAUUUUGCGGAGAAACAAAAUGGGUCUUUGGACCGUAAGAAUUUUGAUAUGGGUGGAAAAGUAAGGUGGGAACAGUAAAAGUUAG
rnacentral:lncRNA from 1 species